rnacentral:rRNA from 1 species
AUUGAACGCUGGCGGCAGGCUUAACACAUGCAAGUCGAACGGUAACAUAAAGAAGCUUGCUUCUUUGAUGACGAGUGGCGGACGGGUGAGUAAUGCUUGGGAAUCUAGCUUAUGGAGGGGGAUAACUACGGGAAACUGUAGCUAAUACCGCGUAGAAUCGAGAGAUGAAAGUGUGGGACCUUCGGGCCACAUGCCAUAGGAUGAGCCCAAGUGGGAUUAGGUAGUUGGUGAAGUAAAGGCUCACCAAGCCGACGAUCUCUAGCUGGUCUGAGAGGAUGACCAGCCACACUGGGACUGAGACACGGCCCAGACUCCUACGGGAGGCAGCAGUGGGGAAUAUUGCGCAAUGGGGGCAACCCUGACGCAGCCAUGCCGCGUGAAUGAAGAAGGCCUU